rnacentral:rRNA from 1 species
UGAGUCCGAUCCUGGCUCAGGAUGAACGCUGGCGGCGUGCCUAACACAUGCAAGUCGAACGAAGCGCUUUUCCCGAAUUUUCGGAGGAGGGGAGAGUGACUGAGUGGCGGACGGGUGAGUAACGCGUGGGGAACCUGCCCUGUACCGGGGGAUAACAGCCGGAAACGGCUGCUAAUACCGCAUAAGCGCACAGUGCCGCAUGGCACGGUGUGAAAAACCACGGUGGUACAGGAUGGCCCCGCGUCUGAUUAGUUGGUUGGCAGGGUAACGGCCUACCAAGACGGCGAUCAGUAGCCGGCCUGAGAGGGUGAACGGCCACACUGGGACUGAGACACGGCCCAGACUCCUGCGGGAGGCAGCAGUGGGGAAUAUUGCACAAUGGGGGAAACCCUGAUGCAGCGACGCCGCGUGAGCGAGGAAGUAUUUCGGUAUGUAAAGCUCUGUCAGCAGGGAAGAAGAAUGACGGUACCUGAAGAAGAAGCACCGGCUAAAUACGUGCCAGCAGCCGCGGUAAUACGUAUGGUGCAAGCGUUAUCCGGAUUUACUGGGUGUAAAGGGAGCGCAGGCGGUUCUGCAAGUCUGAUGUGAAAGCCCGGGGCUCAACCGCGGGACUGCAUUGGAAACUGCGGGACUGGAGUGUCGGAGGGGUAAGCGGAAUUCCUGGUGUAGCGGUGAAAUGCGUAG